rnacentral:rRNA from 1 species
UACGUAGGGUGCGAGCGUUAAUCGGAAUUACUGGGCGUAAAGCGUGCGCAGGCGGUUUUGUAAGCCAGAUGUGAAAGCCCCGGGCUUAACCUGGGAAUGGCAUUUGGGACUGCAAGGCUUGAGUGCGGCAGAGGAGACUGGAAUUCCUGGUGUAGCAGUGAAAUGCGUAGAUAUGCGGAGGAACACCGAUGGCGAAGGCGGCUUCCUGGCCUGUUCUUGACGCUGAGGCGCGAAAGCUAGGGGAGCAAACGGG